rnacentral:misc_RNA from 1 species
GCAGCAGCGGCAACAGCAAUUUUAGUAAUGAUAACAGUAACAGCAACAGCAGUAGUAGUAAUAAUAGCAAUAGUAAUAAUAAUAAUAGUAGUGGUAAUAGAGUAAUAGUAGGAGUAAUGGUACUAGUAUUAGUAGUGACACUAGUGGUAAUAGUAAUAACAACAGCAUCAGUAGUAGCAAUAGCAGUAGCAGUAGUAACAGUAAUAGUUUUAGUGUAGUACGUAAUAGUAGUAGUAGUAGUAGUAGUAGUAGUAGUAGUAGUAGUAGUAGUAGUAGUAGUAAUAGUAAUAGUAGUAGUACUAGUAGAAGCAGUAGUAGUAGUAGUAGUAGUAGUAGUAGUAGUAGUAGUAGUAGUAGUAGUAGUAGUAGUAGUAGUAGUAGUAGUAGUAGUAGUAGUAGUGGUGGUGGUGGUAGUAGUAGUAAUGGUAGUAAUAGUAAUAGUAAUAGUAAUAGUAAUAGUAAUAGUAAUAGUAAUAGUAAUAGUAAUAGUAAUAGUAAUAGUAAGAGUAAUAGUAAGAGUAAUAGUAAGAGUAAUAAUAAUAGUAAUAGGAGUAACAGUAAUGGUAAUAGUAUAAUAAUGGUAAUAAUAAUAGUAAUAGUAAUAGUAUUAGUAUUAGUAAUAGUAAUAGUAAUGGUAAUAGUAAUAGUAUUAAUAGUAGGAGUAGGAGUAAUAGUAAUAGAAAUAAUUAUCAUAAUAAUACUAAUUUUAACAGCAUGAACCAUCAUCAUUCUUGCUGUUAUUAUUAUUAUCAUCAUCUGAUCAUCAAUAAUAUUCUUAUUCUGAUUUCUCUUAUCCUUAUUAUUGUACUUAUUAUCAUUAGUAAUGUUAUUAUUGUUAAUAUUGAUAUUAAUAUUAAUACCGGUAGUACUAUCGUUAUCAUUCUUGUUAUUAUCAUCGGCAUUAUUAUUGUUACUCUUCUUUAUAAUAAAGUAGUCAAUAAACGCAGUCCUUGAGCUUGUUAAAGGCUUUGCGGAGACCCUUACGUGCUCCUAACAUUUCCACCGAAGAAAAUAUUCUUUUCGAAAA